rnacentral:rRNA from 1 species
UCCGUAGGCGGGUUUUUAAGUCAGUGGUGAAAGCCUACAGCUUAACUGUAGAAUUGCCGUUGAUACUGGAAGCCUUGAGUAUAGUUGAAGUGGGCGGAAUACGUCAUGUAGCGGUGAAAUGCAUAGAUAUGACGUAGAACACCGAUUGCGAAGGCAGCUCACUAAGCUAAAACUGACGCUGAGGGACGAAAGCGUGGGGAGCAAACAGGAUUAGAUACCCUGGUAGUCC